ensembl:lncRNA
CAGGUCCUCUCCCCACACCCUCUUCCUGUCCCAGAGCUCUUAAGUCUAUUCCUCUCUCUUCUCCUGAAGGUGGAGAACAACAUGUCUUAUGCCUCUAUGUAAAAUGUUCUCAGACACAGAUCUCCACCUCUUCCCUGAUGUGCCCAGCAGCUCAGAGAAUCCAAACUGCACCUCCUCAGAAUGGCCGGAGUCCAGGAGAUGGGAGGUCCAAAAGGACUGAGUAGACAGGUCUAGGGAAUCACUGACAGACAAGACACUUGGAGACACUCAAUGAACAGACUUUGGGUACUUCUAUAUCAUGUCCACACAGGAAGACUCACUUAAAAAAUGUUAAGGGCCGGGGUUGGGGAUUUAGCUCAGUGGUAGAGCGCUUGCCUAGCAAGCACAAGGCCCUGGGUUCGGUCCCCAGCUCCAAAAAAAAAAAAAAAAAAAAAAAAAAAAGAAAAGAAAAAAAUGUUAAGGGCCAAGGGAGACGUAACAGAGACCAUACCUGUGUAGGGCAAGUGUAUCGUAGGAAGGAAGCCAUUGAAAUUGUUCAGGCUCAGAAGAAAGGACACCAGAAGUGGAAGGGGGUGUUCAAGACAAGUCUAGGGUGGGCUAGGCCAGCCUGGAUGUUGCCUUAAUGUAAGAGGGGUCUGCAGCUGGCUGCUCAGAUGGUAAUAUUGAGACAGGUGAGGCUCUGGGGAAGGAUGGUAGUAGAUUGGUUACCCAUGGUUACCCAGGAAACCAGCAUACACAGUUCACAUGCUAAAGGAGCCCCAGGUCCAAGCUGGGGCUACGGGGAGACAGGGCCAGCUCAGUGUGAAGAAAGGAAGCUGUAGCUGUAGGGCCCAGGUCCUGACAGAUAAAAACACGGACUGUCCUCGGACAAGAAGUAAAGCCAUAGAGAGGCCUCCAGGGAGGUCAAAGGAGAGGGAGGACCAAGAGCCAGGCAGCCAGACCUGGAUACCGAGCAUCUGGAAUCCGGGACAGUGAAGUCCACAGCCUCUGCAGUGGGUCUCCCUGAUGAAGGGGGCUUUCUAAAAAUUUCUACUGUGGCCGCGGACCAGAAACAACCCCCAAAUUCUACAGCAGAUAGAUGGAUUAAAGACAGGCAGUGCAGCUGACAACAGAAUGCAUCCCAACAGUGAAAGAGAAGAGAGCUCGUAUUGAACACAACUUGACUGGUUCUUGGCUGCGUUACUCAGGAGACGCCAAGCUCAGAUUCAUCUGCCCAACUCUUCUUACGUGGUGUCCUAGAAAAGAGAAGACAGUAGCGAUGAAGACUGGUCGUUGGUUUCCCGGCUUGGUGGCAAGGAAAAGCUUGACUAGCGUGCCAGAAACCUUUAGGUGACAAACUGUAGCUGCCUCCUUGUUUCAGUGCUGAUCACAUGAUCCCAUACACCAAAACAAAAUAAAACACAUUUUGAUUUGUGUAAAUUUAUUUUUAAAAAAACUAUUUUUAAUGAUUAUAAAAUAAUUGAAAUCCUUUCCAAUGCG